CCUACGGGAGGCAGCAGUAGGGAAUAUUGGACAAUGGGUGCGAGCCUGAUCCAGCCAUGCCGCGUGCAGGAAGACGGCCUUCUGGGUUGUAAACUGCUUUUGCCAGGGGAUAAAACGGUUCUGCGGAACUAAUUGAAGGUACCUGGUGAAUAAGCCACGGCUAACUACGUGCCAGCAGCCGCGGUAAUACGUAGGUGGCAAGCGUUGUCCGGAUUUAUUGGGUUUAAAGGGUGCGUAGGCGGCCCUGUAAGUCAGUGCUGAAAUAUCCCGGCUUAACCGGGAGGGUGGCAUUGAUACUGCAGGGCUUGAGUACAGAUGAGGUAGGCGGAAUUGACGGUGUAGCGGUGAAAUGCAUAGAUAUCGUCAAGAACACCGAUAGCGAAGGCAGCUUACCAAGCUGUAACUGACGCUGAGGCACGAAAGUGUGGGGAUCAAACAGGAUUAGAUACCCUGGUAGUCCACACUGUAAACGUUGAUGACUCGAUGUUGGCGAUACACAGCCAGCGUCCAAGAGCAAUCGUUAAGUCAUCCACCUGGGGAGUACGCCGGCAACGGUGAAACUCAAAUGAAUUGACG
rnacentral:rRNA from 1 species